rnacentral:rRNA from 1 species
GUACACACCGCCCGUCACACCAUGGGAGUGGGCUGCACCAGAAGCGGCUAGUCUAACCUUCGGGAGGGCGCCGACCACGGUGUGGUCAAUGACUGGGGUGAAGUCGUAACAAGGUAGCCGUAGGUGAACCUGCAGAAGGAUCA